AGCGAACGCUGGCGGCAGGCCUAACACAUGCAAGUCGAACGAACCCUUCGGGGUUAGUGGCGGACGGGUGAGUAACACGUGGGAACGUGCCUUUAGGUUCGGAAUAACUCAGGGAAACUUUGGCUAAUACCGAAUGUGCCCUUCGGGGGAAAGAUUUAUCGCCCUUAGAGCGGCCCGCGUCUGAUUAGCUAGUUGGUGAGGUAAUGGCUCACCAAGGCUACGAUCAGUAGCUGGUCUGAGAGGAUGACCAGCCACAUUGGGACUGAGACACGGCCCAAACUCCUACGGGAGGCAGCAGUGGGGAAUCUUGCGCAAUGGGCGAAAGCCUGACGCAGCCAUGCCGCGUGGAUGAUGAAGGUCUUAGGAUUGUAAAAUCCUUUCACCGGUGAAGAUAAUGACUGUAGCCGGAGAAGAAGCCCCGGCUAACUUCGUGCCAGCAGCCGCGGUAAGAC
rnacentral:rRNA from 1 species